CAUCCCUUCCUCGCCGACUCUCUGCUUUCUUCUUCUUCUCUUAUCUCGCCGACUCCUGCUUACAUAUUCUCUUUAUUCUCGUUUGCAAUUACUUUCUCACUGCUCGUAUCUCACCGGCUUGGUCAAUCUCGCCGACUUCGUCUGUUGCUCUCUCUCAAAAAAGCAACUACGCCCUCCUCCCUCCUCCCUCCUCACUCCGCACUCCGCAGCAAGCAAGGAACCUGUAUCAAAUUCAGUGUUAAGGAAGGAGCUAUGGCUGCUAACCUGCUUAUGGAACUCAUUGAAGCUGCAUUGAUAGUGAACCAAUAGCUUAUCAAGAUGUCAAAUAGAGGGACGAAAGAUAUUGGUUCCAGCAGAGGAAGAUCAAAGGGGAGAGGUCGAAGUAGAUGGCAAUCUCUUACAAUACAAG